rnacentral:lncRNA from 1 species
UUUGCCCAUUUUUAAAAUUGGAUUAUUAAGAUUUUUUUUCCUAUAGAGUUGAGUUCUUAUAUAUUCUGGUUAUUAAUUCUUUCUCAGAUGGGUAGUUUGCAAAUAUUUUCUCCUAUUCUGCGGGUUAUCUCUUCACUUUAUUGUUUCCUUUGCUGUGCAGAAGCUUUUUAACUUCAUGUGAUCCCAUUUGUCCAUUUUUGCUUUGGUUGCCUGUGGUUAUGGGAUAUUACUCAAGAAGUUUUUGCACAGACCAAUGUCCUAGAGAGUUUCCCCAAAGUUUUCUUGCACUAAUUUCAUAGUUUGAGGUCUCGGAUUUAAUACAUUUAAUACAUUUUUAUUUGAUUUUUGUAUAUGGCAAGAGAUGGAGGCCUAGUUUCAUUCUUCUGCAUGUAGAUAUCCAGUUUUCUAAGCACUAUCUAUUGAAGAGACUGUCUUUUCCCCAGCAUAUGUUCUUGGCACCUUUGUUGAAAAUGAGUUCACUGCAGGUGUGUGGAUAGAUUUAUACAUAAGUUGUUUUAUGGGGUUUUGUUUUUUGAAUAACUAGUGAAAGCAAUCAAAGAUCUAAAUAAGUUAGAGACAUACCAUCCCACGGGUUGGAAGUCUCAACAUAGUAAACAUAUCAAUUCUCCCCAAACUGAUCCUAGGUUUUUUUUUUUUCUUCAACCUUUGGGAGCACAGAACAUUAUCUUAGGUUUAAUGCAAUUCCUAUAAAAAUUCCACUAAGACUUUUUGUAGACAUAGACAAGCUUAUUCUAAAUGUAUAUGGAAAUGCAUGGGCCCCAGAACAGCUUAAACAAUCUUGACAAAGAAUAAAGUGAGGGCAGGGUGCCACGGCUCACGCCUGUAAUCCCAGCACUUUGGGAGGCUGAGGCAGGCGGAUCAUAUGGUCAGGAGAUCUGCCCAUCUCAGCCUCCCAAAGUGCUGGGAUUACAUGUACCAUAUAUUUAAACCAAUAUGCUCAAAUUUGAUAGUAAUGGAAGCCACACCACAAAAUAUAUGUAAUUUCUAAAAGGCAUGCAAAUAAAUAAAACCCCAGCAUAGAACCA